rnacentral:lncRNA from 1 species
AACCGUUGAAAUAUGGUAUUCGUAUUCUUUCUAAUUAUUGAAAUUGAUUCUGUAUAGGAUUGUGGAUGUUUGAUCAUGGGAUAUCGCGAUAUGAUCUACGAAUAGAAUUUUUGGAAGAAAAUUUAUAGAAUUAUAUGGAUUUAUUGAAAUGCGUUCGAGGUAAGUAAUGUUUCACUUUUUCUAGAUUUAUCGACAAAUUAUAAUGUAUUCUUCUGACAUGAUUUGUGAAACGAUGCAUGAAUUGGAUGAAUAGUAUUUUGUUAUGAAAAUAUCUUAUUUGAAAUGUUAUGAUGAAGCAUGAUUGAAUAUAUUGAUUUCAUAAUGCAUUAUAUUGAUUGAUUUCGAUACUACAUGAUUAUAUGUUUUAUUAUCAAAAUUAGAAUAUGAAACAUGAUUUAUGAAGAAUUAUGAUAUAAGAAACAAUAAGAAUUGACAACCUGACUAUGUAAAGGACCCUGCCAAUGGGGGCAUGUACAUUAGCAAUUGAUUGUCCUGAGGGUUUAUGUCACCAGCGAGACCGGCGACAUGUCGCCAGAGAGACCAGCGACAAACCGCCAGCGAGACCAGCGGUUCCAAAGGACAUGGCUGCCAGAUGAUUCACAGCCUACCGCAAGCAGAUAUGCGGUAUUAUGAUCCUGCCACAGGAAAAAUAUGGUCAUAGCUCAUGGUUGACGAAAAAAAAUUGAAGAACAAAAGAAAUUGAAAUUUGGAAAGAAACUUGAAUUUUCGAAAAAGAAAUAAAUUUGGCAUGAAUUAUGUUGCAUAAUUGAAAUUGAUUUCGAAUUGAUGAACUCUAUAUGCUUAUUUU